rnacentral:rRNA from 1 species
CCUACGGGCGGCAGCAGUAGGGAAUUUUCGUCAAUGGGCGCAAGCCUGAACGAGCGAUGUCGCGUGAGUGAAGAAUGCCUUCGGGUCGUAAAGCUCUGUUGCGGGGGAAAUAAUGCAGCAUCAGGAAAUGGUUGCUGAUUGAUGGUGCCCCGCCAGAAAGUCACGGCUAACUCCGUGCAAGCAGCCGCGGUAAUACGUAGGUGGCGAGCGUUAUCCGGAAUGUUUGGGGGUAAAGGGUGCGUAGAUGGUCCUGCAAGUCAGGAGUGAAACGCAUGAGCUCAACUCAUGCAUGGCAUUGGAGACUGGAAGACUGGAGAGCAGGAGAGGGCGGUGGAAGUCGAGGUGUAGCGGUAAAAUGCGUAGAUAUAUCGAAGAACCCCGAUGGCGAAGGCGGCCGCCUGACCUGUUACUGACGUGGAGGCACGAAAGUGUGGGUAGCAAAUAGGAUUAGAUACCCGGGUAGUC